AUUGAACGCUGGCGGCAGGCCUAACACAUGCAAGUCGAACGAGUGGCGGACGGGUGAGUAAUGUCUGGGAAACUGCCUGAUGGAGGGGGAUAACUACGGGAAACGGUAGCUAAUACUGCAAACCAUCAGAUGUGCCUAGGUGGGAUUAGCUAGUUGGUGGGGUAACGGCGCACCAAGGCGACUAUACCUAGCUGGUCUGAGAGGAUGACCGGCCAGACUGGAACGGAGACACGGCCCAGACUCCUACGGGAGGCAGCAGUGGGGAAUAUUGGACAAUGGGCGCAAGCCUGAUGCAGCCAUGCCGCGUGUAUGAAGAAGGCCUUGGGGUUGUAAAGUACUUUCAGCGGGGAGGCGUUACCCGCACAAGAAGCCCCGGCUAACUCCGUGCCAGCAGCCGCGGUAAUUC
rnacentral:rRNA from 1 species